rnacentral:rRNA from 1 species
UACAGAGGUCUCGAGCGUUGUUCGGAUUCAUUGGGCGUAAAGGGUGCGUAGGCGGCGCGGUAAGUCGGGUGUGAAAUCUUGGAGCUUAACUCCGAAACUGCAUUCGAUACUGCCGUGCUUGAGGACUGGAGAGGAGACUGGAAUUUACGGUGUAGCGGUGAAAUGCGUAGAUAUCGUAAGGAAGACCAGUGGCGAAGGCGGGUCUCUGGACAGUUCCUGACGCUGAGGCACGGAAAGGUCCAGGGGAGCAAACGGGG